AGCAGCCGCGGUAAUUCCAGCUCCAAUAGCGUAUAUUAAAGUUGUUGCAGUUAAAAAGCUCGUAGUUGAAUUUCGGGAUCAGUACGUUGGUCGUGCCUUCGGUACGUACUGGCGUUACUGGUUCCUACCUUCUGAGGAACCGUCAUGUCAUUAAUUUGGUGUGGUGGGAAAUCAGGACUGUUACUUUGAAAAAAUUAGAGUGUUUAAAGCAGGCUCGCGCUUGAAUACAUUAGCAUGGAAUAAUGAAAUAGGACGUUCGAUCCUAUUUUGUUGGUUUCUAGGAUUGACGUAAUGAUUAAUAGGGAUAGUUGGGGGCAUUAGUAUUCAAUUGUCAGAGGUGAAAUUCUUGGAUUUAUUGAAGACUAACUACUGCGAAAGCAUUUGCCAAGGAUGUUUUCAUUAAUCAAGAACGAAAGUUAGGGGAUCGAAGACGAUCAGAUACCGUCGUAGUCUUAACCAUAAACUAUGCCGACUAGGGAUCGGAUGAUGUUAUUUUUAAUGACUCA
rnacentral:rRNA from 1 species